rnacentral:rRNA from 1 species
GACGAACGCUGGCGGCGUGCCUAAUACAUGCAAGUCGAGCGCGGGAAGCUUGCGGAAUCCUUCGGGAGGAAGUGAGUGGACCGAGCGGCGGACGGGUGAGUAACACGUGGGCAACCUGCCCGUAAGACGGGGAUAACCCCGGGAAACCGGGGCUAAUACCGGAUAGGUGACCUUUCUGCAUGGAGGGGUCAUGAAAGGCGGCGGAAGCCGUCGCUUACGGAGGGGCCCGCGGCGCAUUAGCUAGUUGGUGAGGGAAGGGCUCACCAAGGCGACGAUGCGUAGCCGGCCUGAGAGGGUGAACGGCCACACUGGGACUGAGACACGGCCCAGACUCCUACGGGAGGCAGCAGUAGGGAAUCUUCCGCAAUGGACGGAAGUCUGACGGAGCAACGCCGCGUGAGUGAGGAAGGCCUUCGGGUCGUAAAGCUCUGUUGUUCGUGAAGAAGGGGUUGGCCAGGAAAUGGGCCGACAUUGACGGUAGCGAACCAGAAAGCCCCGGCUAACUACGUGCCAGCAGCCGCGGUAACACGUAGGGGGCAAGCGUUGUCCGGAAUGAUUGGGCGUAAAGGGCGCGCAGGCGGCCUCUUAAGUCUGAUGUGAAAGCCCACGGCUCAACCGUGGAGGGACAUUGGAAACUGGGGGGCUUGAGUGCAGGAGAGGGGAGUGGAAUUCCACGUGUAGCGGUGAAAUGCGUAGAGAUGUGGAGGAACACCAGUGGCGAAGGCGGCUCUCUGGCCUGUGACUGACGCUGAGGCGCGAAAGCGUGGGGAGCGAACAGGAUUAGAUACCCUGGUAGUCCACGCCGUAAACGAUG